rnacentral:rRNA from 1 species
UACGGAGGGUGCGAGCGUUGUCCGGAAUCACUGGGCGUAAAGGGCGCGUAGGCGGCUCAUGAAGGCUGUGGUGAAAGUCCGGGGGCUCAACCUCGGAUCGGCCGUGGCGACUCGUGGGCUGGAGCACUGUAGAGGCGGGGUGGAAUUCCGGGUGUAGCGGUGGAAUGCGUAGAGAUCCGGAAGAACACCAGUGGCGAAGGCGGCCCGCUGGGCAGUGGCUGACGCUGAAGCGCGACAGCGUGGGGGAGCAAACAGG